rnacentral:rRNA from 1 species
AUUGAACGCUGGCGGCAGGCCUAACACAUGCAAGUCGAACGAGUGGCGGACGGGUGAGUAAUGUCUGGGAAACUGCCCGAUGGAGGGGGGUAACUACUGGAAAAGGUAGCUAAUACCGCAUACCCUCGGAAGUGCCCAGAUGGGAUUAGCUAGUAGGUGGGGUAAGGGAUCACCACGGCGACGAUCCCUAGCUGGUCUGAGAGGAUGACCAGCCACAAGGGAACUGAGACACGGUCCAGACUCCUACGGGAGUGAGCAGUGGGGAAUAUUGCACAAUGGGCGCAAGCCUGAUGCAGCCAUGCCGCGUGUAUGAAGAAGGCCUUCGGGUUGUAAAGUACUUUCAGCGGGGAGGCGUUACCCGCAGAAGAAGCACCGGCUAACUCCGUGCCAGCAGCCGCGGUAAUAC